CGCACUACCUCCCCCUCGCCGCCGCCGUCGCCGCUUGCCCCCGUCCGGGCCAACUCCGGCCACAAACGCGACCACCACACUCUGAGGAAGAUGUGGCUUGGCCCACUCUACCGGAUCCGUUCUCGUGCCUCGCCGUUCCUGCCCCGAGCGCGAUGCCACGGCUAACCCUAGCCGUGGGGUUUGGCUCAGUCGCCGGGGCGGUUCCCGCGCCGCUGACUUCCUCGUGACGCUCGCGGUCUCCGUCUGGCCCUCGAUCUUCGUCUGGCGCCCCCGAGGACAGGCGUCAGCGAUGGCCCCGUUGAAGAAAACGGCGCGGAAGAGGAGGUGGCGGCCGCGCGGUCGUGGCUGGCGAGGAGGGCGGCGGCGGCGUGGUGGGCCGGGCUGAAGCUCGCCUUCAUCUCCUUCAACCACGAGGAAUUGUUCAUCUCUUCCAUAAGUGCUGGUAUUCGGUAGUGGGUGACAAGACUGAAUUUGGCUUGGAGGCUACCCAACCAACCACUGCCGAUGUUUGUAAACCUUGCUCUAGCCACACUCAUUUAUGCCGCCUUGGUGUGCUUCGCCAAGAUUGACAUCAAGGACAAGAAAAAGGCUUGAAAAACUUCCAAGAGGAUAAGAAGCAAACUGGUGGUGAACCUAGGGACCUUGACCAAAACGACCAAAACAAUGUCCAGGUCUGUUUGCUUCUUUCAGCCUAAGUUUGCUCACAUAUGAUUUCUAAUGGUUUAAUCUGUACAAUGUUCAUACAAUUUCCGCCGAAUUGCUAUUUUAUUUUCGCUGCAGCGAGGUGUUUCUAACUUCCCCACUAUUAUUUAUUUACAUCAAUUACAUAUGUGUGUAUAUAUACCACAUUACCACAUAACAAGCUAUUAGCAUUGUUACUGCAUGGUGGGCCUCUGUGUUUACUUUAUUUUGUGUUGUUUCCAUUGGCCUGCUUAUUGCUUUUCAUUUUAGGUUGAAAGUGCGAUACACUCCCACCUUCUUAAGAACUGGAGUAACAAGUAAAAUCCCCCAAGUGCUAACUGUUGGGUAAUCUAGUCUUUUCUUCAGUUCUAGGUGUCAAUAAGCUUAGUGUCUCUGUCAGUAGAUUCAGUUAGUUCAGUUAGCGUCAGUUAGUGUCGUUGGGUUUUAGCCGACAGUGACCAAGUCUUGGGAUGGCAGGAGUUUGUUAGCUGACCGGUUCCAACGUCAGGUAGUGGUCUUUAUCCUCAACAACACGAUCAAGUCGUGGGAUGGCACGAUUUAGUAGGAUCGUGCAGCGGAGUUUCAGCUCGCGCUGUUGAGUCUGUUUCAGUCCUUGAGAAUAAAAGGAAGAAUGGAAACCUGAAAAGCCGUACGUUGUACGCGGCAACAAUCCUAGUCUCUUCUCUCUUGUGUUCUUGCAUUGUUUGAGUAGGAGAUUUGGGCCACACUAACUUUGGCGUAUGUUUCUGAAUCCAUAUGCGAAGUACUUUUCUUAAAUUUCAUGUAUGUUUCUGAAUCCAUAGGUGAAGUACUGUUUCUUAGAUCCAUUUAUAUCACCUUUGAUGCAAAUAGAUCUCGAGUAUUGUCCCGUAAUUUUUAACCUUCAUUAGUACUGUCCUGUAUUAUUUUCUGUUUGAUAUAAUCUAACUCAGAUGUCCGGCCAAGUUCAGUUGUGCUGAUCGAUUGGGACCAGGUGACGGUUGUGUUCGAUCGGGACACCGUCAGGUGUGUUGAUAGACAAUUUGAGCUGGUCGAUUGGGACAAGAGCCGGUUAGGUGCUUGCUUGGGCCAGACAAGGCUGAGUUCACCGGUUAUUUCUUAAGUGUG